rnacentral:rRNA from 1 species
CGUAAUAACAGAAACUAACCAGGAUUCCCUUAGUAACGGCGAGUGAACUGGGAUACCAAUAUAUAUUAUAUACGCUUCAUGCGUGUAUACUUUAGCCCGUCGAUACUAUCCUAGCGUAUGACUUAUACUGUCUCGGCAGUUGGUCACCAAAUACGCGGGAAUUGUAGCAUCGUAACACAUAUAUACACUAUAAGCAGCGCACACGUAUAUUAUACACACACAUACGUAUAUACCGGCCUUGCAAACACACAGCGCUCUCGCGUUGGAAAGCAAGUUAUAUCCUCGGAUAUGCCAUAGAGUGUGACAGCCACGUUUGGAACACCCUUAUACCGGUAUACACACACAUAUACACUGCGCAUACGCUUAGCACGUAUAUAUAACCUGAGUCGAGUUAUUU